GGUUCUGGUUCGGGUCGGAU
rnacentral:siRNA from 1 species